UGCCAGACUCCUACGGGAGGCAGCAGUGAGGAAUAUUGGUCAAUGGGCGGGAGCCUGAACCAGCCAAGUCGCGUGAGGGACGACGGUCCUAUGGAUUGUAAACCUCUUUUGUCGGGGAGCAAAAGCCGGACGUGUCCGUCUGUGAGAGUACCCGAAGAAAAAGCAUCGGCUAACUCCGUGCCAGCAGCCGCGGUAAUACGGAGGAUGCGAGCGUUAUCCGGAUUUAUUGGGUUUAAAGGGUGCGCAGGCGGAUUUUUAAGUCAGCGGUCAAAUCGUGGGGCUCAACCCCAUCCAGCCGUUGAAACUGGGGAUCUAGAGUGUGCGAGAGGUAUGCGGAAUGCGUGGUGUAGCGGUGAAAUGCAUAGAUAUAACGCAGAACCCCGAUUGCGAAGGCAGCAUACCGGUGCACAACUGACGCUCAGGCACGAAAGCGUGGGGAUCGAACAGGAUUAGAUACCCCCGUAAAC
rnacentral:rRNA from 1 species